ensembl:lncRNA
AUGAUGGGGCCAAAAGAAACGGGGGCGUUUGCAGUCCCAGAUUUAAGAAGAUAUUUUGAAGCAGCAUGCUGGAGUUGGAUGAAAGAGUGGAUGUUACUAAAAGAUACUGAAGUUUUGGAACUAGAAGGCUGGGACAAAAUAUACGGUUGGCAUGGAUAUUUAUUCUAUGGGAAAAUGCAAUUGCAUAAAGGAUUUACGAACCGCCUUGUGAGAAAGGCCCUAUUUGAGGUAUGGGAGAGAACAAAAGAGAGAAUUAUAGAAAGAACUCCAAGGUGGACCUCUCCAAUAGAGGCAACCUCGACAUUAAAAAAAAAAAAUGCCUGGCCAAUUUAUAGAGAUUUAGCAGAAGGAAUGAAUGAAAAUACAGUGGUACAUCAGGUUAAGUACUUAAUUCAUUCCGGAGGUCCGUACUUAACCUGAAACUGUUCUUGACCUGAAGCACCACUUUAGCUAAUGGGGCCUCCUGCUGCUGCCACACUGCCGGAGCACGAUUUCUGUUCUCAUCCUGAAGCAAAGUUCCUAACCUGAAGCACUAUUUCUGGGUUAGCGGAGUCUGUAACCUAAAGCGUAUGUAACCUGAAGCGUAUGUAACCCGAAGUACCACUGUAUCAAAUUAAAAGAAUACGAAGAACUCAAAAUACUGGGAAUAAAUUGGUUAGAAUAUUUCCAACUUAAGGCUACAUACAAGAAAGAUAUAAAAACUAGGGGAUUUGGGAAAUAAAAUAUCAAAAUUAGAAAGAGAGGCUUUACAAAAUAAUCAAAAAAACUCUCCAAAAUAUAUAGAUUAUUAGAUAAAGUCCUCCCAGAUCAAGAAGUCAAAGGAGAGAAUAUUCUAAAGUGGGAACGGGAUUUAGGAUAUACAAUUGAUUCUGAAGAUUGGAAAAAGUUUUGGGGAAAAAAUAUGAAUUUUACAGCUUAGUAUUCAUUAAGAGAUAAUUAUAUGAAGAUGCACCACAGAUGGUAUAUGGCACCAGACAGACUGGCAAAAACGAAUAGAUCAAAUAGUAAUAAAUGCUGGAGAUGUAAUAGAAUGAAAGGCACUCUAUAGCAAAUGUGGUGGACAUGUCCAGAGAUCAGAAAAUUUUGGGAGAUGAUCCAUGAAGAGAUUAAAAAAUUGAUAAAAGUAUCAUAUAUCAGGAGGGCAGAAGCAUAUUUACUAGGAAUCUUGAGUAAGCAUAUCCCCAAAGACAAAAUUAACAUCUUUCUGUAUGCAACAACAGCAGCGAAAAUGUUGGUAGCCAGUCAUUGGAAAGGAAAUUAUAUCCCAACAAAAGGGGACUAGUUAAGUAAACUAUGUGAGUACCUGGAGUUAGCAAAAUUGACGGAUUUAAUGAGGCAUAAAUCCAAAACUAUAAUACAGAAACAAUGGGAAUGCUUACAUGAAUAUUGAUACAAGCAGGGCUCAAAUGUGAAAGUUUGGCUGCGCUUAGACUAACCUUGUGAAGAAUACAGAGAACAUAAAGAUUUGACGGAUUAUGAAAGAACCUAAGGAAGGGAAAUGAUUGAAGAACAGAUGUAAAGGCGAGCAAGAUAACCAAGAGACGUGUGGUGAAUGCGGUGGAAGUUUUAAAAAAAUAUUUUAACUAGGAUUUAUAUAUUGUAAUGCUUGAAGGAGUCAAAAUUGAAGGAGUGAAGCAGUUAGCAAUUAAAGCUAAAGAGCUAGCCCAGGAAAAUGAAAAAAAUUAACUACACUAUCUAAACAGGGGGCAGAAUUGCCGGACCCCCAGAGAACAGCUAAUAUGAUUUUGGGAGGAAUUCCGGAAGAAAUACAGGCUAAAGAGUUGGAAGAAACUUUGAGAACCUGGCUAUGCUCCAACUCCAUCGUUCUGCCUGGACACUGAGGUCCAGCGCCAAGGGCCUUCUGGCGGUUCCCUUGGUAUGAGAAGCCAAGUAACAGGGAACCAGGCAGAGGGCCUUCUCGGUAGUGGCACCCACCCUGUGGAACGCCCUCCCAUCAGAUGUCAAAGA